GACGAACGCUGGCGGCGUGCUUAACACAUGCAAGUCGAACGGAAAGGCCCUGCUUUUGUGGGGUGCUCGAGUGGCGAACGGGUGGGUAACACGUGAGUAACCUGCCCUUGACUUUGGGAUAACUUCAGGAAACUGGGGCUAAUACCGGAUAGGAGCUCCUGCUGCAUGGUGGGGGGUGGAAAGGUUCGGCGGUUGGGGAUGGACUCGCGGCUUAUCAGCUUGUUGGUGGGGUAGUGGCUUACCAAGGCUUUGACGGGUAGCCGGCCUGAGAGGGUGACCGGCCACAUUGGGACUGAGAUACGGCCCAGACUCCUACGGGAGGCAGCAGUGGGGAAUAUUGCACAAUGGGCGGAAGCCUGAUGCAGCAACGCCGCGUGCGGGAUGACGGCCUUCGGGUUGUAAACCACUUUCGCCUGUGACGAAGCGUGAGUGACGGUAAUGGGUAAAGAAGCACCGGCUAACUACGUG
rnacentral:rRNA from 1 species